GAUGAACGCUGGCGGCGUGCCUAAUACAUGCAAGUCGAGCGAACAGACGAGGAGCUUGCUCCUCUGACGUUAGCGGCGGACGGGUGAGUAAAACGUGGAUAACCUACCUAUAAGACUGGGAUAACUUCGGGAAACCGGAGCUAAUACCGGAUAAUAUAUUGAACCGCAUGGUUCAAUAGUGAAAGACGGUUUUGCUGUCACUUAUCGAUGGAUCCGCUCCGCAUUAGCGAGUUGGUAAGGUAACGGCUUACCAAGGCAACGAUGCGUAGCCGACCUGAGCGGGUGAGCGGCCACACUGGAACUGAGACACGGUCCAGACUCCUACGGGAGGCAGCAGUAGGGAAUCUUCCGCAAUGGGCGAAAGCUUGACGGAGCAACGCCGCGUGAGUGAUGAAGGUCUUCGGAUCGUAAAACUCUGUUAUUAGGGAAGAACAAAUGUGUAAGUAACUAUGCACGUCUUGACGGUACCUAAUCAGAAAGCCACGGCUAACUACGUG
rnacentral:rRNA from 1 species